GUGCUUUUGCGUCGUCCACCCGUGCCUCUUCAUUACCGUCGGUAUCGACGGUACAGAAUCUUCAUAUCGUGUGGUUUUUUCUCUGCUUUUUCUGAACGGAACUGUGGAGUGGAACGGAUUGAAAACGAGCAAGGCUUGUAGGUGGCGUCUGGUACGUUCUCGUUUUGGAGCGCAGUUCUAGGAACAGGCACUACGAGACAGCUGAUUCAUGCACUUUAUCGGAUUGCGUUGCCUUCAGUUAAGAAUGACGGCGGUUUGCGCAAGCAAGCCAUAAAAAGCUCAAAACGUUUCGCGACUUUCCCCCGAAUCUAUAGUACACAAUUGCUUGGUUGAACACCUGCGAGAAAAGCAAUCGAAACAAAAGCGCGCCCUCGAACAGUUGUUCCAGAAUCCACUGCUCUAAGUUUAUAGUCGGUACAACGAGCAGCGGUUCACGACCAUGAUAGGUACAUAGACACCCACUCGCAGACGCCUCACUCUCUCGUCUGACCGGCCGCCUGCUAUCAGUUCCAGAUUCUGCAUGUAUACCUCGAGCCUGAGAGGCUGCCUCACAAGACGGGCUCGCGCCAGCGCCUCGGGUAUCCUCUUCAGCACCGCACAUCGUUUGGUAUAGAUGGCGGCGUUCACGUCUCGAUUCACGAACUCCUUGCGUGCAUUGACGCUGGUGGAGCUCAACAUUGCAAGAAUUCCAAGUACUCGCGCCCCCUGCGCCACAACAGUCUCGUCAUUGUCACGUCUAGCAAACACCUUUUAUCGUCUGUGUCCCCUAUUCUUCUUUUUUUCCUCGUAACUUGCUUGUCUUCGCUCGAUGAUCGGCGAUGAGAGGAUUUUUUGCGUUUUCUUCGGGCAGCCAGGGAUGACGGUCCUCCAGGAUCCUCGGCUUUUACGUGCAUACCUUCCCCUUGAAUACUGUAUUUCUUCAAGAUGAACGCGCUUCGAAUGAAUCUGCGGUAAACCGCGAAGAGGCCGUAAAGGACUCGCACCUGCGGUGGAACAUAAUAGAGGUAGCAGACUGUUAGAGACACUCGGGACUGUGCCAGAUCAUAUGCUUUCAAUCCAAUUUCGUUUCAGCCUCUGCUGCAGCGUAUAGCAAGAUAUCGAAAUCACUAUUGAAUGAGCCCUGUAGAUCGUAGUCGAAUUGCCUGUAGGAUAUAUUCUUUACUGAGCAAUACACGGAAUACUGCAUUCCUUCUGCAGGUCAGUCAUACCACAGUUUCAGAUGGUUCAGGAACACUGGAAGGAGAGAAGCAUGUACACUACAGGCAAAAACCAAUAUUCUCGGAGAUUGCCUGCUGUCGGUGGUAGAAAACGUCCCGUUAAUCGCCUUACGGAAAGCAAAAAGGACGAUGAAAGUCUCCACGGGCGUCUCGGUUACUCAGCAGUUUGUUCGUGUAGUCUUGAAAACACUGGGAUACGCUUACAAGAAAGUCAAAGUUCAAUGAACGUCAGCUUCCACCGAAAUCGCAACGACAGAAUUCUCGGAACGCUGCGAUCGAUAUGAAGCACAGAGACAUUGGUAUGUUUUUCAAAUCGAUGAAACCUUCUUCGGAAAAACGAUCGGGGCAUGGAUGGGUAUUCGCUGACUGGGGGCCCGAUGCAUGCAUGAAGGUACUCGAAGAGAACGAUGAUAUCUUCAUCAGUUCAAGCUGGAAUGGAUUCAUUUGAUGGCCUCAGUUUCGCAAGUGAAGAAGGCUCAUACAACAGCGCCACCAAGUUUGUGGAAUCAUUAAAGACUUUACUCCUGACGUCUGGCGACGUCCUUCCAU
rnacentral:misc_RNA from 1 species